rnacentral:rRNA from 1 species
AACACAUGCAAGUCGAGCGAAGCACUUUGCUUAGAUUCUUCGGAUGAAGAGGAAUGUGACUGAGCGGCGGACGGGUGAGUAACGCGUGGGUAACCUGCCUCAUACAGGGGGAUAACAGUUAGAAAUGACUGCUAAUACCGCAUAAGACCACAGCACCGCAUGGUGCAGGGGUAAAAACUCCGGUGGUAUGAGAUGGACCCGCGUCUGAUUAGCUGGUUGGUAAGGUAACGGCUUACCAAGGCGACGAUCAGUAGCCGACCUGAGAGGGUGACCGGCCACAUUGGGACUGAGACACGGCCCAAACUCCUACGGGAGGCAGCAGUGGGGAAUAUUGCACAAUGGGGGAAACCCUGAUGCAGCGACGCCGCGUGAGCGAAGAAGUAUUUCGGUAUGUAAAGCUCUAUCAGCAGGGAAGAAAAUGACGGUACCUGACUAAGAAGCACCGGCUAAAUACGUGCCAGCAGCCGCGGUAAUACGUAUGGUGCAAGCGUUAUCCGGAUUUACUGGGUGUAAAGGGAGCGUAGACGGCGACGCAAGUCUGGAGUGAAAGCCCGGGGCUCAACCCCGGGACUGCAUUGGAAACUGUUCAUCUAGAGUGCUGGAGAGGUAAGUGGAAUUCCUAGUGUAGCGGUGAAAUGCGUAGAUAUUAGGAGGAACACCAGUGGCGAAGGCGGCUUACUGGACAGUAACUGACGUUGAGGCU